rnacentral:rRNA from 1 species
AUGGCGGCCGCCACCACCCAAGCCUUGUCUUGCUAUAAAUCUUCACGAAUAGCGAAGGGAAGAAGAAGGGGAAAGGGGAUGGCCGCCGACACCGCCUACGUGAAGCGGGUGCUGCUCGCUUGCAACGGUGGCACCGACGCCGUCUCGCGGAGGGUCGCCGUCGGCCUCGCCAGGCACGGCUGCAACAUGGUGGAUCAAGGGAAGCCGACCUUCACCCCCAAGAAGGGCAAGCCCAGCGUCGUCAUAAUGGUAAGGAUGAUGCUUUUGCUUAAGGAGAGGCUCAAGAAGAUCAGGGAGCUUCGCAUCCGAGUUUCAGCCAUCCUCUACAGCAAGGAGCUCUGGGCCAAAGGAGCAACCAGCACUGCUAGUUCCUUGAGGCCAGAUCGAGAACAGUAUGAGGAGGAGCUAGCUUACAUGUACCAGGAAGAGGAGGAGCCGCUAUGUGACCAUCAAGGCCAGUACUACACGUCGUUCUAUCCAUCUCGUAGCUCCAAUUUCCCGAGCUUUGGGGGCGAGAGCCCAAACGAGCUGGGCAGCUAUCUCCAGCUCCAUCGCCAUCAGUCAACUUCCUCUCCUUUGGCGCUGGCCAGGCUAGCACCCUCAACUUCUCCGGAGGAGCCUACGAUGGACUCCAAUUCCAGGGCAGACGGGAUCUCUCUCCUUGGGAGCACCAUCGACUACGUGAAGCAGCUGGAGGAGAAGGUGAAGACCAUGGGAGAGCAAGGCCAGCAGAGGUCGCCAGAGUGCACCGUGUUCGAGAGCAAGUGCAGCAUAUCCGCUGCGAACAAGGACGACUCAGCAGGCCACAGCAGGAGCAGCUCCGAGUCAGGCGACGCCGAGUACUCAAACCCGGUGGACGUUGAGGCCAGCAUCCACGGGAACACGGUGCUCCUGAAAAUCUACUGCAAGGAGAGGAGGGGGGUGCUAGUGAUGGUGCUCUCCGAGCUCCAGAACCAGGGCCUCUCCAUCAUAACCACCAAUGUCCUACCGUUCACGGACUCCUCCCUCAACAUCACCAUCACCGCAAAGGCAAGCCCUCUCUGCCCUCCACUGCUCAGAAGAUUACUUCCAAGAGGAAGAAGAAUGCUCUGCCAGCAGAGGUCGCCAGAGUGCACCGUGUUCGAGAGCAAGUGCAGCAUAUCCGCUGCGGACAAGGACGACUCAGCAGGCCACAGCAGGAGCAGCUCCGAGUCAGGCGACGCCGAGUACUCAAACCCGGUGGACGUUGAGGCCAGCAUCCGCGGGAACACGGUGCUCCUGAAAAUCUGCUGCAAGGAGAGGAGGGGGGUGCUAGUGAUGGUGCUCUCCGAGCUCCAGAACCAGGGCCUCUCCAUCAUAACCACCAAUGUCCUACCGUUCAUGGACUCCUCCCUCAACAUCACCAUCACCGCAAAGGCAAGCCCUCUCUGCCCUCCACUGCUCAGAAGAUUACUUCCAAGAGGAAGAAGAAUGCUCUGUUAG